UUACAUCCCCUCCCCAGUGAGGUCACAAACAAUCUGCUACAGGUAAAUUAUUCUGCAGGAACCACAGGCAGGCUGAGCAGGGGAAGAGGAAUUGGAUUUACCCUGCAAUACCCAUGGGGGGUCCCAACAGCUAAAAUCCCCCUCCCAUCAGUGCUGCUGUGCCACAGGUCUGGCACUGCCCUACAUCCACCCCUGUUACUGACUGCUGAGCUGGAGUUCAGCAGCUGGAGUGGCUGGUGCUGGGUGACACUGCCACUGCCAGCUGUGCCCCAGCAGCUGCCACUGCUCCAAGAAGGGACACACUGGUGCUGGAGAGGGACAGGCCAGGCACCACCUGACACCCUGGAGUUCUCCUUAAUUGUGGUGGCUCAAAUCCCCUAAAACCUCACAGUUCCUGCUGGAAACAACUGAUGAGCUGCUCCGAAUGUUAAUCCCUGUGGAGACAUGUGAAGGUCUAUUUCAGGACAAAGUGACAGGAAAAAGGCACAAACAGGCUGGGUGCAGAGCCUGUGCUAGAAGAGGAGUGACAGAUUCUCCACAGAGUGACAGAUUUCUUCCCAUCUGCAUGAGGACCCCACGUGCUUUUUCACUGGGAUCAGGGCUGUGGAUCUGCAAACCUGGCCCUGAAGGGCAAACCCCAGAUGACACCAGGGACCCAGGGCUGAACUGAUGCAGUGACAAACCAGCAGUGAAGAUUUAAUAAAAGGGUGAGCAGGUUUGUUGUACAUUUUCACUAAGCUUUGCUGAAUCUUUUCAAGUCCUGCUUUUAAGCCCAGGAAAGACCCACUCAAGGAGCUGCUGGGGUUGGGCAAAGCCUCCCCCCUGUCCUGAGCAGGUUAUUUUGGG